GUGUGAUCCAAUAUUUCAAUUCAACCUGUUGAAGAAAAUACAGGAGAUAUAAGGUGGUUGAAGAGUAAUAAGGCUGUUUUUGUAUUUUCCACUUCCCAACUGAAUAUAUUUGGUUCUAGAGAUUCUUGUGCUAUAGGUUCUUUGACUGAGUUGAGGUCUUAUCUCAAGUCACUUAACCUGGCAGUUUGUUAAGAUUUAAUUUGAAUAAUUCUUUAGCUUUGUUUUAGGGAUUUGUUAGUUGUAUUAGAGGUUCCUGCCUCUAUUUAAACA